rnacentral:rRNA from 1 species
GACGAACGCUGGCGGCGUGCUUAACACAUGCAAGUCGAGCGGUAAGGCCCUUUCGGGGGUACACGAGCGGCGAACGGGUGAGUAACACGUGGGUGACCUGCCCUCAGCUCUGGGAUAAGCCCGGGAAACUGGGUCUAAUACUGGAUAUGACUCCACGGUGCAUGCCGUGGGGUGGAAAGCCUUGUGCGGCUGAGGAUGGGCCCGCGGCCUAUCAGCUUGUUGGUGGGGUGAUGGCCUACCAAGGCGACGACGGGUAGCCGGCCUGAGAGGGCGACCGGCCACACUGGGACUGAGACACGGCCCAGACUCCUACGGGAGGCAGCAGGUGGGGAAUCUUGCGCAAUGGGCGAAAGCCUGACGCAGCGACGCCGCGUGAGGGAUGACGGCCUGGUGUAAC